rnacentral:lncRNA from 10 species
UUGGGCUGGCAAAGACACCAGCCGUGUUCAUGCCGGCUGGUGGCAACCUAUUCAGGGGCCACAACUUCCGCGGUCAUUUAUUUGCCGCUUCUUUGAAAGCCCACCUCCCUGGCAGUCUCGGCGAAGCCUUGAAUCUCACGGCUCCGCUCCCUCUGGAAGGCGUGGAGAGGCCCAAGCCGGGAGGGCUGUCCGGGCACAGGCUCUUGCUCCAUCCCCACUGCCCCUGGUGAUGGACGCCAUGGGAAAUGGUCAGAUGCUGGGCAGGAGACCCUGGACUUGGAGUGUCACAGACAGAAGGCAACUUGGAGGGCAACCGGGUCAGCCCACCCACUCCCCUCAGGGAGACUGAGGCCCCAGACAGAGGGGAAGUGACUUGUCCAAGACCACACCAGUGCUGAGCUUUCUUUCUGCAUAGACCCUGCUCCCUCU